rnacentral:rRNA from 1 species
CCUACGGGUGGCAGCAGUAAGGAAUAUUGGACAAUGGACGCAAGUCUGAUCCAGCCAUCCCGCGUGAAGGAAUAAGGCCCUAUGGGUUGUAAACUUCUUUAGCUAGGGAAUAAAUCAUUGGAUUCAUCCGAUGUUGAAGGUACCUAGAGAAUAAGCACCGGCUAACUCCGUGCCAGCAGCCGCGGUAAUACGGAGGGUGCAAGCGUUAUCCGGAUUUACUGGGUUUAAAGGGUGCGUAGGUGGUUUAAUAAGUCAGUGGUGAAAUUUACCCGCUUAACGGGCAAGCUGCCAAUGAUACUGUUAAACUUGAAUAUGGUUGAAGUAGGCGGAAUAAAUCAUGUAGAGGUGAAAUUCUUAGAGAUGAUUUAGAACACCGAUUGCGAAGGCAGCUUACUAAGCCAAAAUUGACACUGAGGCACGAAAGCGUGGGGAUCAAACAGGAUUAGAUACCCUAGUAGUC